UUAAUUGAAACCAAAAAGAGGUAUAUUAUUGUUAAUAAUAAAACUGAUAAACUAUCCAAUUAAA
rnacentral:tRNA from 1 species